CCUACGGGUGGCAGCAGUGAGGAAUAUUGGGCAAUGGGCGAGAGCCUAAACCAGCCAAGUCGCGUGAGGGAGUACUGCCCUAUGGGUUGUAAACCUCUUUUGCCGGGGAGCAAAAGCCGGACGUGUCCGGCUGUGAGAGUAACCGAAGAAAAAGCAGCGGCUAACUCCGUGACAGCAGCCGCGGUAAUACGGAGGAUGCGAGCGUUAUCCGGAUUUAUUGGGUUUAAAGGGUGCGAAGGCGGAUUUUUAAGUCAUCGGUCAAAUCGUGGGGCUCAACCCCAUCCAGCCGUUGAAACUGGCGAUCUAGAGUGUGCGAGAGGUAUGCGGAAUGCGUGGUGUAGCGGUGAAAUGCAUAGAUAUCACGAAGAACUCCGAUUGCGAAGGCAGCCUGCUGGACUGUAACUGACGCUGAUGCUCGAAAGUGUGGGUAUCAAACAGGAUUAGAUACCCGGGUAGUC
rnacentral:rRNA from 1 species